UUACGGCCACAACACGUUGAAACACCGAUUCCCGUAGGAUCAUUGAAGUUAAGCACCGUUCAGCCUGGUCAGUACCUAGAUGGGUGAUUGUGAAUACCAGGUGCCGUAAG